rnacentral:siRNA from 1 species
AAGCAGUGGCGGAUCUAGGGAGG